rfam:Bombyx mori DNA, contig: Bm_scaf71_contig31140, strain: p50T/Dazao, build 2, whole genome shotgun sequence.
UUAACUCAAAUUUGUAUGGAGUUAGUACGUGUGCCUACGUUUGCCACUAGGGGCGCUGUCCAACUCUAUACAAAUUUGAGUUA